GACGAGCGCUGGCGGCGUGCUUAACACAUGCAAGUCGAGCGGAAAGGCCCUUUCGGGGGUACUCGAGCGGCGAACGGGUGAGUAACACGUGAGUAAUCUGCCCCUGGCUUUGGGAUAGCCACCGGAAACGGUGAUUAAUACCGGAUACGACCACUUCUCGCAUGGGAUGGUGGUGGAAAGUUUUUCGGCCAGGGAUGUGCUCGCGGCCUAUCAGCUUGAUGGUGAGGUAAUGGCUCACCAUGGCUUCGACGGGUAGCCGGCCUGAGAGGGUGACCGGUCACACUGGGACUGAGACACGGCCCAGACUCCUACGGGAGGCAGCAGUGGGGAAUAUUGGACAAUGGGCGGAAGCCUGAUCCAGCAACGCCGCGUGAGGGAUGACGGCCUUCGGGCUGUAAACCUCUUUCAGCAGGGACGAAGCGCAAGUGACGGUACCUGCAGAAGAAGCACCGGCCAACUACGUGCCAGCAGCCGCCGUAA
rnacentral:rRNA from 1 species